GGUUUUCCUUUUUUCCCAUCUUGGUUGGAGCACUGUGAUAAAUGUCAAAUUUAUCUACUUUAAAUUCACUAUUGUUCUAUGGCAAUUGGCUUGGCUCCUUUACAGAGGCUCGAUGUAUGCAGCGACCCCAGGUGCACGAGAUGGAAGGUGGCGGUUUGUUGGUCAACGUCGGGCAUGGCUCUGUGAUGUGGCUGGUCAGUGGCUAUUGAGGUUUCUCGAGUACGAGGUCACGGGACAUGGGGUAAAGGAAUGUUCUUGAUUGUUUUGGUUAUUGAUUGUAUUGUUUUGUUCAGGUUUUUAUUUGCUUUUCAAGAAUUUGGUAUGUUUAGUUUUUAACAAUAAUGGUGUUUAUCAUUCUUCUUGCCACUGCUUUUUUGAUGGGGUUUGUGGAUGGCAUGACGGUACUUCACAAUGCUGGUUUAGUGAAGCCACAUAGUGUGGCUAUCUUGAACAGUGCUUGGGUGGAUCAUCUUCAGAUAUGGCUUUGGAUGUUGUCUGGGUGGAUAUUAAUUUCUUGGUCGACUAGCGUGUAGCGUCGGUAUUCAUGGAGUUUAUCUGUUAUAUAGUUUUUACAACUUUUAUUGUAAUAAUGAUGGUGUUAUUACCCUAAAUCAUUUGAAAGAUUACUAGCUUUUAGCAUUAUUGGGUUGGUAUGUCAAUUGUCCUUUUUUGAAGGAAAACUUAGAUUACUCCUCACAAUUUAGAAGCUUGUUUGCUUGA